CUUCUUUGAAGGGUAUGCCCUGGAUCCCAUCUGCUGAUCUACCUGUUAUCUUUUGCUGCUCAAGUUUAUAUAUGUUCCAAUUUGUUGCUCAAGUUUAUUAUGUUCCAAUUUGUGCUAUAAUUUGGUACUUAUUGUGAAGAUGUAGACUAGCUUGUCAUUAAUGGUGGAGAUAUCUAUCUGAGACCCAGGGAACAGCCUUUCUGGAUCUUUGACUCUUCUUUUCCAAGUUAGUGCAGAUGACUAGAUUCUUUCCUGACAGAAACAAGAUAGAAAAUGGAGAGAUCUCAUGGAGAACGUACGUACCAAGUAAAUUCCGAGCUAAGUUGCCAGCAGAACAGAACUCAUAGACAAGGUUUCGAUCCUUUCUGGAAAGGCCUGCAACGAACUUCUCUGGUGAACGAAUCAGAAGUAUAUGGCUGCAACAUGUUGAAAUCUGAUCCCCAUUCAAAUGACAUGCAUUCAUUCUCAGGCUUGUACAUGUAUGGUUGUCACCGCAACUCAACACAACAUACUUUUGAUCCUUUCUGGAAAUUAAAGACCAUGCUGCUGCAACACAGCACGACCCUUCACUGGCUGCAACAUUAAUUAUACUCCUCCCCCAGCUUCAAUCUGUCACUAAAAGGAAUCAAUACCAACCAUUUGUCAUGAGCUUUAUACUCAUCCACUUGUUGUUCCAAUUUCCAAAUCAGUGCGAUCUGCAAUCCAUUUUGUGAUAAGCCAUAUAUGCAUUGACUCUCUCUGUGCACUUUGUUCAUAUAAAGACAAAUGCAAGUGAAUUGUAUGGACUUACAUUGACUCUCUUUGAGCCCAUAUUAUGGAAGUAUAUGGACUUACGUUGGUCAUUUAGGGUCCAAUGGAAGCACUUGAGA
rnacentral:lncRNA from 1 species